rnacentral:rRNA from 1 species
UACGGAGGGUGCAAGCGUUAUCCGGAUUCACUGGGUUUAAAGGGUGCGUAGGUGGGCAGGUAAGUCAGUGGUGAAAUCUCCGAGCUUAACUCGGAACUGCCGUUGAUACUAUUUGUCUUGAAUAUUGUGGAGGUAAGCGGAAUAUGUCAUGUAGCGGUGAAAUGCUUAGAUAUGACAUAGAACACCUAUUGCGAAGGCAGCUUACUACGCCUAUAUUGACGCUGAGGCACGAAAGCGUGGGGAUCAAACAGG